UCCGCUGCGUAUCUCAAGUGUGCCCACCCUUUUCUCCUCUCCAUCUCCCCUCCCCACGCUUAUGAACCCACUGUGUGGGGAGAUUGUAAUCCAAGUGGAUUACACUGUAAAUUGGGUGAUGGAGGAUUGGAUGCUCUGGAAGUGAAUCUCAUCUGUAGCAGUGGGCUUGCCAUUUGCUUGAUUUAUAUAUUAUAACUGGGAUUAUAUCAUGCCAAGAACCAUGGAACUUUGGAGAACAUCUUUCAGGUGGGAUGUUUUGCAGAUGAUGUGAUGAGAGCAUGCAUUAUUUGAUAUCAUGUUCACCUGAGUUUAACACGAAGAAAGAAGGACCUAAUGAUAACUAAGUGGAUUACUUGGAUUAUCUGUAUCAUCCUGAAUAUGAGAAGCAUUGAUUACUUAACACAGCUCAAUGAGAAUUUGAGACGUUUCUGGAAGAUCUGAGCAUGAUUAAGGGUUCGCUGACUUGGAUCAUCAGGCCCUCCAAGAACUUUUGGAUGUGCAAGUUUAGUUGAUGAGGAGCUUGGAAGGGUUGUAAGAGGCGUUUGAAAUUAUUUAGGCCAGAAUGAAUGGAAGUAAGUGGAAUGGACAUUGAAUUUUAGUUGUCUAACUGGAGUAGUGGAUUCUCAGGACCUUCUUCUUGUGACAGAUGUAGCUCUUAAGGAUAGAUGUCAGCAUCAUGUAUAACAUCAGAGGGUCUUCUUGGGUCACAUUCCUCACUGUCUACACAGGCUGGCUUUGCAUCUUUACACAUGCUCAAAUGAAGAUUCCACCAGAAACGGUUCAAAAAUGGGCCAUCACCAUUUCAGAGCAAAUCACUGCAAUUGCAUCAAAGAUACUCAGGUGCUGUGCUAUUACAAAAGAAACUCAAAGAUGUUGAGCCCAAUCAUCCAGAAUAGAGAAUGUAGAAUGGAGC